UACGAAGGGUGCAAGCGUUACUCGGAAUUACUGGGCGUAAAGCGCGCGUAGGCGGUCAUGUAAGUCGGGUGUGAAAGCCCCGGGCUUAACCUGGGAAUUGCAUUCGAUACUGCGUGGCUAGAGUCUGGGAGAGGGAAGGGGAAUUCCGGGUGUAGCGGUGAAAUGCGUAGAUAUCCGGAGGAACACCAGUGGCGAAGGCGCCUUCCUGGCCUAAGACUGACGCUGAGGUGCGAAAGCGUGGGGAGCAAACAGG
rnacentral:rRNA from 1 species